UACGAAGGGGGCUAGCGUUGCUCGGAAUCACUGGGCGUAAAGCGCACGUAGGCGGCUUGCUAAGUCAGGGGUGAAAUCCUGGAGCUCAACUCCAGAACUGCCUUUGAUACUGGCGAUCUCGAGUCCGGGAGAGGUGAGUGGAACUGCGAGUGUAGAGGUGAAAUUCGUAGAUAUUCGCAAGAACACCAGUGGCGAAGGCGGCUCACUGGCCCGGUACUGACGCUGAGGUGCGAAAGCCAGGGGAGCAAACGGG
rnacentral:rRNA from 1 species